rnacentral:rRNA from 1 species
UACACGACCGUACCGCAAACCGACACUGGUGCGCGAGAUGAGUAUUCUAAGGCGCUUGAGGGAACUCAGGAGAAGGCACUCGGCAAAUUGACACCGUAACUUCGGAAGAAGGUGUGCCUUUAGUAGGUGAAGUCCCUCGCGGAUGGAGCCCAAUGAGGUUGCAAAAAAUCGGUGGCUGCGACUGUUUAUUAAAAACACAGCACUCUGCAAACACGAAAGUGGACGUAUAGGGUGUGACGCCUGCCCGGUGCUGGAAGAUUAAAUGAUGGGGUGCAAGCUCUUGAUUGAAGUCCCAGUAAACGGCGGCCGUAACAAUAACGGUCCUAAGGUAGCGAAAUUCCUUGUCGGGUAAGUUCCGACCUGCACGAAUGGCGUAACGAUGGCCACACUGUCUCCUCCUGAGACUCAGCGAAGUUGAAAUGUUUGUGAUGAUGCAAUCUCCCCGCGGAAAGACGGAAAGACCCCAUGAACCUUUACUGUAGCUUUGUAUUGGACUUUGAACAGAUCUGUGUAGGAUAGGUGGGAGGCUUUGAAGCAGGGUCGCUAGAUCUUGUGGAGCCAACGUUGAAAUACCACCCUGGUGUGUUUGAGGUUCUAACCUAGGCCCGUAAUCCGGGUUGGGGACAGUGCAUGGUAGGCAGUUUGACUGGGGCGGUCUCCUCCCAAAGUGUAACGGAGGAGUUCGAAGGUACGCUAGUUACGGUCGGACAUCGUGACGAUAGUGCAAUGGCAUAAGCGUGCUUAACUGCGAGACUGACAAGUCGAGCAGAUGCGAAAGCAGGACAUAGUGAUCCGGUGGUUCUGUAUGGAAGGGCCAUCGCUCAACGGAUAAAAGGUACUCUGGGGAUAACAGGCUGAUACCGCCCAAGAGUUCAUAUCGACGGCGGUGUUUGGCACCUCGAUGUCGGCUCAUCUCAUCCUGGGGCUGCAGCCGGUCCCAAGGGUAUGGCUGUUCGCCAUUUAAAGAGGUACGUGAGCUGGGUUUAAAACGUCGUGAGACAGUUUGGUCCCUAUCUUCCGUGGGCGCUGCAGAUUUGAGGAAGCCUGCUCCUAGUACGGGAGGACCGGAGUGGACGCACCUCUGGUGUAUCGGUUGUCACGCCAGUGGCAUUGCCGAGUAGCUAUGUGCGGAAGAGAUAACCGCUGAAAGCAUCUAAGCGGGAAACUCGUUUCAAGAUGAGAUCUGCCGGGGCCUUGAGCCCCCUGAAGAGUCGUUCAAGACCAGGACGUUGAUAGGUCGGGUGUGGAAGCGCAGUAAUGCGUUAAGCUAACCGAUACUAAUUGCUCGUGCGGCUUGACCU